rnacentral:rRNA from 1 species
AAGUUGUUGCAGUUAAAACGCUCGUAGUCGGAUUUUGGUGUCUGACUUGGGUCGUCCUCGCGGACGCUCUCAGGUUGGGCGCCUUUGUGGAUGGGAGUGUGGUGGUGCUUAAUUGGAUCGCCACACUGCCGCCACCGUUUACUGUGAAAAAAUUAGAGUGUUCAAAGCAGGCGAUUGCCCUGAAUACAUUAGCAUGGAAUAAUAGAAUAGGACCCGGUCCUAUUUUGUUGGUUUGUUUGAAUCGGGUAAUGAUUAAGAGGGACGGUUGGGGGCAUUCGUAUUCCGACGUCAGAGGUGAAAUUCUUGGAUUGUCGGAAGACGAACAGCUGCGAAAGCGUCUGCCAAGGACGUUUUCAUUGAUCAAGAACGAAAGUAAGGGGAUCGAAGACGAUCAGAUACCGUCGUAGUCUUUACUAUAAACGAUGAGGACUGGAGAUCGGAUAAGACUGAUAUAUGGCUUAUCCGGCAUCCUUCGAGAAAUCAAAGUGUUUGCUUUCUGGGGGGAGUAUGGUCGCAAGGCUGAAACUUAAAGGAAUUGACGGAAGGGCAUCACCGGGUGUGGAGCCUGCGGCUUAAUUUGACUCAACACGGGAAAACUUACCAGGUCAGGACAUAGUAAGGAUUGACAGAUUGAGAGCUCUUUCUUGAUUCUAUGGUUGGUGGUGCAUGGCCGUUCUUAGUUGGUGGAGUGAUCUGUCUGGUUAAUUCCGUUAACGAGCGAGACCUGGGCGUGCUAGCUAGGCGCCGUUACUAUUUUUGGUAGCGAGGCUUGCCUUCCUAGACGGACUGUGGGCGUCUAGCCCACGGAAGCUCCAGGCAAUAACAGGUCUGAGAUGCCCUUAGAUGUCCUGGGCCGCACGCGUGCUACACUGAACGGGUCAACGAGUUAGGAUAUGCGAAAGCAUUUCCCAAUCUCUAAAUCCGUUCGUGAUGGGGAUCGACGGUUGCAAUUUUCCGUCGUCAACGAGGAAUACCUUGUAAGCGCGGGUCAUCAUCCCGCGCUGAAUACGUCCCUGCCCUUUGUACACACCGCCCGUCGCUCCUACCGAUUGAGUGGUCCGGUGAGGCCUUGGGAGAGCUAGAUGAACUGAUUAAUCAGAUCUUUGGCU